AGGAUCCCCAAUAGUGGGUGUAUUGGUAGGAAGGUUAGGAUCCCCAUUAGUGGGUGUAUUGGUAGGAAGGUUAGGAUCCCCAAUAGUGGGUGUAUUGGUAGGAAGGUUAGGAUCCCCAAUAGUGGGUGUAUUGGUAGGAAGGUUAGGAUCCCCAAUAGUGGGUGUAUUGGUAGGAAGGUUAGGAUCCCCAAUAGUGGGUGUAUUGGUAGGAAGGUUUACAAUAACUGAGGUUAUGUUUUGAACAGGGUGUUUUGCAUUGAACUAGGCUUCACAUAAAGAACACAAAUGCUUUAUCAUAGAGCGUUGUCCUUUAACCAACACAUCUGGCCCAUUUUUUGUUUUUUAAGCUAAUUGUGUACAUUCAGAAACAUUACCGGCAGUAUUUGUUGUGGUUUUGUGUCUAUUCUGUUAACAAUGUCAUACCUUUAUCUCCAAUACUCCAAGACUGAAACUGGUAGAUGAAUUCCAGACCUCAUCACCCCCCUUGUCUGGCUUUUUUUUUUCCUUUGUCAAAAUAAUACUUAGACUUAAAGUAGUCUCAUUCUCAAUCACUACAUCCUUCCACUGGUCCCGCAAUCAAUGAGAUUGAUUAUAAUUUCCCUGUACUAGUGUUUUAAGGAAAUAGUUUGUAGUUAAUACACAAAAUGAAUGAGUACAAGUAUACACCUGUAGGUGUCUUUUCAUAUAUUAAACUCAGUGUACAUGCAGCACAAUGAACUGUAGGAUAUUUUCCUGUUAUCUUCUGAUGCAGGAAAUGUACUGAUAUAACUUAAUUACUACAAACAAUAGGAAUGUUCUUCAUUCAGAUGCUAUACGUCCCAAGUCAUCAGAAUCGAUCUCCCAAAUAUCUUGGUUGUGACCGUCAGACUUAAACUGCAAGGCAGAAAAUAUGCUGAAAUACCAUAUAAAAAGGGAACGAGGUGUGUGUGUGUGUGUGUGUGUUUGCCCUAAAAUUACAAUCAUCUGCAUAUGCUAUCAAUGAGCACAAAACAGAUACAGAAAAAAGAGAUGAAAGCAAGGGUUCAAGGCAGAUGUGCAUUUUGCAGGCAGGGUUUCUUAAGUUGAGAAAUGAGCUCUGUCUGGUCAACAGCCAGGUGGAGAUGGAGGAUGGGAGACUAGAGGUUCUGGAAACACUCCUGUCCUCUCUGUCCCUCUUUGUCGUCUUAAUCAGACUGGCCCUGAACCCCAAUCAUGGUGCUGCGUUAAACCUGUAUGGGAGCAGCACAGUUCAUCUUCCCUUUUUCAUUUGUUCCUCCACUAUUGGCCCUUAGAUAAACUAAAUCUUUGGCUGGAUUUUGUUUUACUCCAUUUCUGAAAAUCAUGACAUAGUUUUGUAAUAUCACAUAAACACCGCUGGGGCCAGACACCAAUAUGUCUCUUGUGACAGUGUACAUGUGUAGAUACUGAACCGCCAUUGUCCUUUUGGAACAGGAGGCAGAAGAAGAAGGGAAGCUUGGCUGGAGCUAGUGCUAGUGCUAGCUCUUCUCACAGCUAGCUAUACUGCCAAGCAUAUCUGCAAGGUUUCACAGAUCUUUGAGCAGCCAGUUCGUUAAUACUGCCCAUUGUUUUGAUCUUAAAUGUUUUUUUCUUUCUUUUCCUUUUUCCUUUUCUUACUUCUGCUACUUUUACCUGUACUGGAUUUUCGGUUAGAUUCCCAAAUGUUCAUUGUAUUUGAAAGCGUUGUGUGUGGCUGAUUGUCCUGCCUGUGGAUACCCAUUGAGUGUUUAGUCUGACUGACAAAAUCAGUCAGUCAGCCAGCCAGCCAGCCAUUUAAAGCACAGUCUGAUUGCUCAUUCAGUUAAAAAGCCAAGAUCACUUAAGAUUGUCAAUCAUUGAGCCCUUCAUUAGUGAAGGAGGACUACUUUAUGGAGAAAAGAUCAGUGUAGUGAUUUUUAAUUGACCAUUUGAUUGCUAGUUGAAGUCAGUGUGGGUGCUGCAGACUCUGGGACUCACCUAAGGAAUGGGUGUUUUGAGGAACACAGUGAGAAUAUGGAUAUAAAAGUGAUAGGGAAGUCUUGGCAGCCCAUGGUUUUGUAUGUUGCAUUUCAUCACUGGUAAUGAUGAAGGCACUAAUGAAAAACUCUCGGACAGCCUUAGGGUAUGUAGUAAAUCCACCCCCACAGCUCAGAGGAGAUGGGAUGGGCUGGAAAGAGCUCAUGGAUGUGAUCAGAGGUAAAGAGGAAGGGAAAGACGAUGACUGGAUCACCCUCUUAACUGUGUGUGUGUGCUUGUGUGUCUGUGUGCGAGUGAGUACAUUUUGUUUAAAAAGACAACUCAAUUUUUUAAAUACUGCUGGAGAUGUACCUGCCAGAGAGAUUACUAUGAUAUGAAAAAAGAAAAUAAGCCUUGUUCGCUUGUUACAUUAUGGAGAAAACUGCCAAGAAGUACUGCUGAUUGAGGCCUAUUUUAUUCAGUGCUGGUGUGUUGUUUUGCUUCUUGUAAAUAAAUGUCUUUUCAGUCAUCCCUUUUCCUCUUGGGGGCGGGGCAUCAAGGCAAGGGGUUGGUCUUACUCAUGAGAGGGAAAAGAAUAGAGUAUUUUGUUAUUGUCCAAUCAGAGGGUGAGACCGUAUGUGUAUAUAUCUAUAUUGUAUAUAUGUGAUGAAAAUGUGUUGGCUUUUUGUGACACUACCUUUUACCUGUACUAUGGUUCUACAUUCAGUGUUUCAAUGUUGAUAAUAUAUAUUUUGUUAUGUUUUUCAGUUUUUGAUUUUGUCUUUGUCAUUUCUUGUAUUUGUUUUCUUUUUCUCCUUUUUGUCCUCUUGGUUAUUGCACGGUUUAUUACUUUUGCUGUCCAAUGAGGUGAUACAGCUACUCUUUGUAUUGGUUUAGUGCUGUAAAAUAACUUGUUAUUAGAGUUGUCGAUACCACCCCCAUCCCCAAUAUGCAUGAAUGGCACUUAAACAAAUAAAAUGUUAACUUCACUGUGG
ensembl:lncRNA